rnacentral:rRNA from 1 species
ACUUUUAACAACAGAUCUCUUAGUUCUAGUAUUAAUAAAGAACACAGCGAAAUGCGAUAAGUAGUGUAAAUUAUAGAAUUUAGUAAAUUAUUAAAUCUUUAAACGCACAUUGCGCCCCUUAGUAUUCUAUAGGGCAUGCCUGUUUAAGCGUUAUUUGUACCCUUAAGCUCUACUUAGUGUUAGGUGUUUAUUCCACUUAGGACUCGCCUUAAAACAAUUAGCAGCUAGCACAUUAGCCUAGAGCGCAGCACAUUUUACGCCUCUUAUUAUAGUUGUUAGCAUCUAUUAAGACACUUUUUAAGCUCUUAACCUUAGAUUAGGUAGGGAUACCCGCUAAACUUAAGCAUAUUAAUAAGCAGAGGAAAAGAAACUAAUAGGGAUUGCCCUAGUAACGGCAAGUGAAGCGGCAACAGCUUAAAUUUAAAAUCUAGCUCUUUUAGGGUCUAAGUUAUAAUUUGCAGAGGGCGCUUUAGCGUUAGUAGCAGUCUAAGUUCCUUAGAACAGGACAUUACAGAGGGUAAGAAUCCUAUACGUGGUUACUAGCCUUCGCCGUGUAAAGCCCCUUUAACAAGUUAAGUUGUUUAGGAAUACAGCUCUAAAUAGGAGGUAAAUUUCUUCUAAAGCUAAAUACUAGCUAGAGACUAAUAGCGCACAAGUAGAGUAAUUAAAAGAUAAAAAGCACUUUAGAAAGAGAGUUAAAUAGCACGUAAAAUUGUUAAAAGGGAAGCGCUUGCAGCUAGACUUGCCUGUAGUUACUUAUCUAGGCUUUUAUCUAGUGCACUCUUCUACAGGUAGGCUAGCAUUAGUUUAGGCAGUUAGAUAAAGGUCUCUGUUACGUACCUCCCUUUAGGGAGGCCUUAUAGGGGAGACAAUAUGCAACCAGCCUAGACUAAGGUCCGCGCAUCUGCUAGGAUACUGGCGUAAUAGCUAUAAGCGGCCUAUCUUAAAACAUAGACUAAAGAGUCUAACAUCUAUGCAAGUGUUUAGGUGUUAAGCCUAGACGCGUAAUAAAAGUAAAUAGAGGUAGGAACCCUUUUAGGGUGCACUAUUAACCAAUCCUAAUAUCUUUAGAAGGAUUUAAGUAAGAGCAUAGCUAUUAGGACCUAAAAGAUGGUGAACUAUGCUUAAAUAGGGUAAAGCUAGAGGAAACUCUAGUAGAGGCUCGCAGCGGUUCUAACGUGCAAAUUAAUCGUUAAAUUUAGGUAUAGGGGCGAAAGACUAAUCAAACUAUCUAGUAGCUAGUUCCUGCUAAAGUUUCCCUUAGGAUAGCAGUAACGUAUUUAGUUUUAUAAGGUAAAGCAAAUAAUUAGAGGCCUAGGGGUUAAAAUAACCUUUACCUAUUCUCAAACUUUAAAUAUAUAAGAAGUCCUUAUUACUUAAUUAAAUGUGGACACUUAAAUAUACUAUUACUAGUAGGCUAUUUUUAGUAAGUAGAACUAGCAAUGCGGGAUAAACUAAACGCAGGGUUAAGGUGCUAGAAUGCACGCUUAUUAGACACCACAAAAGGUGUUAGUUUAUCUAGACAGCAGGAUAGUAGCUAUAGAAGUUAGAAUCCGCUAAGGAGUGUGUAACAACUCACCUACUAAAUAAACUAGCCCUAAAAAUGGAUGGCGCUUAAGCGUGUUACCUAUACCCCGCCGCUAGGGCAAGAUUUAAGCCCUAGCAAGUAGGCAGGCGUAGAGGCUCGUGACAAAGCCUUAGGGGUAACCCUAGGUAGAAUAGCCUCUAGUGUAGAUCUUAGUAGUAGUAGUAAAUACUUAAAUAAGAACUUUAAGGACUAAAGUAGGGAAAGGUUCUGUGUGAAUAGUAGUUAGACACAGGUUAGUUAAUCCUAAGAGAUAGGGUAAUUCUAUUUUAAUGUUAGCGCUUACGCCGCGCCCUUAAAAGGGAAGCUAGUUAAUAUUCUAGCACCUAGAUGUAGAUUCUCCACAGUAACGCAACUAAGAGCGGAGACCUUAGCGGGAGCCCUAAGAAGAGUUCUCUUUUCUUCUUAACAGUCUAUUACCCUAAAAUUAGUUUGUCUAGAGCUAGGGUUUAAUAGCUAGAAGAGCGCUAUACUUUUAUAGUGUUUAGUGCGCUCCUAAUAAGCCUUAAAAAUCUACUUAAAGAAAUAGUUUUUACGCUAGGUUGUACUUAUAACUGCAGCAGGUCUCUAAGGUGAAAAGCCUCUAGUUAAUAGAAUAAUGUAGAUAAGGGAAGUCAGCAAAAUAGAUCUGUAACUUUGGGAAAAGGAUUAGCUCUAAGGGUUAGGUACGUUAGGCCUUAGGGAGAAGCCUCUAGCGUAGAAGGGCACUAACUGCAAGGUGGGCGCCUCUUAGCGCUAGGGUGCAGAUACCCUUAGCAGGUUUUGGCUGUCUAGCGUACGUUUAACAACCAACUUAGAACUAGUAUAGAUAAGGGGAAUCUAACUAUCUAAUUAAAAUAUAGCAUUGCAAUAGCUAGAAAGUAGUGUUAAUAUAAUAUAAUUUCUGCCUAGUACUCUAAAUAUUAAAGCAAAGAGAUUUAACUAAGCGCGGGUAAAUAGCGGGAGUAACUAUAACUCUCUUAAGGUAGCUAAAUACCUUGUUAUCUAAUUAGUGACGCGCAUAAAUAGAUUAACGAGAUUCCUACUAUCCCUAUCUACUAUCUAGCGAAACCACAGCUAAGGGAACAGGCUUAGCUAAAUUAGCAGGGAAAGAAGACCCUAUUAAGCUUAACUCUAGUUUAAUAUUAUAAAAAGACAUAGGGGGUGUAGAAUAGGUAGGAGCUUUAGCGCUAGUAAAAUACCACUACCCUUAUCGUUUUUUUACUUAUUUAAUAAAGCGGAGCUAGGCCUUACUACCUAACUUCUAGCGUUUAAGGUCCUUUAUAGGCUAAUCUAGGUUAAAGAUAUUAUUAGGUAGGGAGUUUAGCUAGGGCGGCACAUCUAUUAAACUAUAACGCAGGUGUCCUAAGGGGGACUUAUAGAGAAUAGAAAUCUCUAGUAGAGUAAAAGGGCAAAAGUCCCCUUAAUUUUAAUUUUUAGUGUGAAUACAAACUAUAAAAGUAUAGCCUAUUAAUCCUUUAGUCCCUUGAAAUUUAAGGCUAGAGGUGCUAGAAAAGUUACCACAGGGAUAACUAGCUUGUGGCAGCUAAGCGUUCAUAGCAACAUUACUUUUUAAUCCUUUAAUAUUAGCUCUUCCUAUUAUACUAAAGCAGAAUUUAGUAAGCGUUAGAUUGUUUACCUACUAAUAGGGAACGUAAGCUAGGUUUAGACCGUCGUAAGACAGGUUAGUUUUACCCUACUAAUAACCUUGCCCUAAUAGUAAUACCGCUUAGUAUAAGAGGAACCGCAGUUUUAGAUAAUUAGUUUUUGCGGCUAUCUAACUAGGCAUUGCCGCGAAGCUACUAUCUACUAGAUUAUAGCUAAACGCCUCUAAGUUAGAAUCUAUGCUAGAACAGGGUAAUUUCCGCCUGCACUAGUUAGAUACAAAUAGGCCUUUAGCCCAGAACCUUACUAGAUUAGCGUUAGCAGCCCUAUUAAAGUUAGGGUUGUUAGCUAGUGUAUUACAAUUGUAUAGUACGCAGGAUUAAAUCCUUUAUAGAUAACUUAGUUGUCUAGCCAGGUCGUGUAAGUAGUUAAGUAGCCUUGUUAUUACGAGCUACUAAGCGUAAGCCUGUUGCUAGCUUAGUUAAAAUUAGGAUAUUAUGCCCUCCUUAUUUGCAAAACUGCUGCCUAAAUAGCUGCUAUUAAUAGAAGGAAGAGGGCCAUAGCAAACAAGUUAUAUAGUAAUUGCAAGAUAGAGAGGGCUAGAGCUAGGAGCAAUCCUCGCAAAAUAUACAAAAGAACAGGUUAUGUGUGUACGUACCUUAGGCAGUUAAUAUAUAGUAUAGGAAGAUUAAGAAAGGAUUUAAGAUAAUCUAUACAGAUUUUUAGGUAGUAAUCUAUAACUUAAGAGCGUUCUAUAACUUUUUAUUUUUUAGGGGUAGUGUUCUAUAACUCUAGGGCGUUCUAUAACUUUAGGGCGUUCUAUAACUUUAGGGCGUUCUAUAACUUUUUAUUUUUUAGGGGUAGUGUUCUAUAACUUUAGGGCGUUCUAUAACUUUUUAUUUUUUAGGGGUAGUGUUCUAUAACUUUAGGGCGUUCUAUAACUUUAGGGCGUUCUAUAACUUUAGGGCGUUCUACAACUUUUUAUUUUUUAGGGGUAGUGUUCUAUAACUUUAGGGCUUUCUAUAACUUUAGGGCGUUCUAUAACUUUAGGGCGUUCUACAACUUUUUAUUUUUUAGGGGUAGUGUUCUAUAACUUUAGGGCGUUCUAUAACUUUAGGGCGUUCUAUAACUUUAGGGCGUUCUAUAACUUUAGGGCGUUCUAUAACUUUUUAUUUUUUAGGGGUAGUGUUCUAUAACUUUAGGGCGUUCUAUAACUUUUUCUUUUUUAGAGGUAGUAUUCUAUAACUUUAGGGCGUUCUAUAACUUUUUAUUUUUUAGGGGUAGUGUUCUAUAACUCUAGGGCGUUCUAUAACUUUUUAUUUUUUAGGGUUAGUAUUCUAUAAUAUUAGAGUGUUCUAUAACUUUUUCUUUUUUAGAGGUUGU